UACAGAGGUCCCAAGCGUUGUUCGGAUUCACUGGGCGUAAAGGGUGCGUAGGUGGUGAGGUAAGUCGGAUGUGAAAUCUCCGGGCUCAACCCGGAAAUGGCAUUGGAAACUACCUUGCUAGAGGAUUUGAGGGGGGAUUGGAAUACUGGUGUAGCAGUGAAAUGCGUAGAUAUCAAGUGGAACACCAGUGGCGAAGGCGAAUCCCUGGGAAAAUACCUGACACUGAGGACACGAAAGCUAGGGGGA
rnacentral:rRNA from 1 species